rnacentral:rRNA from 1 species
GAUGAACGCUGGCGGCGUGCCUAAUACAUGCAAGUCGAGCGAACGGACUAGAAGCUUGCUUCUCUGAUGUUAGCGGCGGACGGGUGAGUAACACGUGGAUAACCUACCUAUAAGACUGGGAUAACUUCGGGAAACCGGAGCUAAUACCGGAUGAUAUUUUGAACCGCAUGGUUCAAAAGUGAAAGACGGUCUUGCUGUCACUUAUAGAUGGAUCCGCGCUGCAUUAGCUAGUUGGUAAGGUAACGGCUUACCAAGGCAACGAUGCAUAGCCGACCUGAGAGGGUGAUCGGCCACACUGGAACUGAGACACGGUCCAGACUCCUACGGGAGGCAGCAGUAGGGAAUCUUCCGCAAAGGGCGAAAGCCUGAAGGAGCAACGCCGCGUGAGUGAUGAAGGUCUACGGAUCGUAAAACUCUGUUAUUAGGGAAGAACAUAUGUGUAAGUAACUGUGCACAUCUUGACGGUACCUAAUCAGAAAGCCACGGAUAACUACGUG